GCCCCGGGAAAGCACGGGCGGGAAAGCCGAGCCGCCGUGGGUGCGGAGAGAGCGGAGCUCAGUGCCAAAGCCUGGGUGUGCAAAGAAAGACGCUGGCUUCAGCCGAGCUCCCAGAAGGCAGAUGCUAGAAUCUGCAGCCCGAGCGGAAAACACAAGCGUGGUCGGGGAGGUUUGCUCCGUGCACCUGUGGUAUAGAGUGCGCUCACAGAAGACAUGGUACGUGAGACUGUGGGGGAUUCCAGAACCCGUGUUACCCAAGCAGGUGCCUCGUGAUCCCCUUCAAAAAGUUCUUUCUAAUCUUCUCCAAGACAGCAGCUUGUCAGAUUCACAAGGAUUGUGUGCAAAACGGGAGAUGUUUGUCGAGUGACAGUUAAAAAGAUGGGGUUGAACUACACGAGGCUUGUGAAUGAGCUCCGUGGUGUUGACUUGAGCUGCUCAGAGGCCUUUUUCUUCAACCGUGUUCGCUGUGGCUGAGACGAUUGGAAAAAUGACCUCUGGGUAGAUCUGCUCAUCAGAAUACACCUGGCUUCUCUGGAUGCAGUGGAGCAUGUGUGUAAUCCUAAGGCAGUGUGGGAAGUGGACACGGUAGAAUCACCAGGAAGCUGUCUGGGUAGACAGCCUGGAGUACCCAGCAUGGCAGCGGGAACAAGAGAGACCACGUGUCAGCAAGGUGGAAGGACAUUGUUACCGGAUACACCGAGACCUCCAGAUUUUUCUCCUAUGUAUGUGAAGGAUAUUGGAGGACAUAUUCCAUCAGUUCCUGGAAAUGGGAAAGUCAAGUUCACAUGUACUUCCCCAUUUUGCUCCAGCAAUGAGUUGGCGCCAUCUCCUAACAGACUGAGGGCUCUCUUCCCACCUCUGUGUUAGGAAACUUCACACUGGCCAGGAGUGCUCACACCCCAGCAAAGGUUACCGUAAGUGCUUCCUUCUGGAUUGCUGAUGGUCUCUCAGCCCACCAUACCUUUGCAUACCUUUGAGGGUUGAUGGAAAGCCAGUCCUUCUUAAAAGAGGUUUGGGGACAUAAAGAAUUGCUACCUUGAUGACUACACCAGCAAACCGCAUCCCAACGGAGCAAUGGGGGCAAAGCAUGUGCUCCAGGAACAGCUGGGCCCUGGCAUGGUAGGGGCAGUGGCUGUGUGUCUGCUUUCCUGGGCCUUUAGUGUAGUUUGAACCCUGAGGAAAAACAGGUCCAAAUAGUGUGAAAUGGGCUUUCCUUGUUAUUCUGCUGCCCCAGAAAGACACUGCCUUGAGGCUCUUUGGAAAGUGAAGAUGACAGGUGACGCCUUCUUUACAAAGACACAUUUCUAGAUAACAAUCCUCAUGACUGGGCUAUACAUGUGUUGUCCAAGGGAACUUUCCGACAGUGAUGGGCAUGCUCUGUGUCAAUGCUGCCAGCAAGAUGGGUGCUCCCUGCAUACAGCUCCUGAAAUGUGAUUGGCCUGAGCUGAGACGUGUUGCUAGAGUAGACCAGAUGCUGGAUUUCCAAGACACAGCCCAGAGAAAGGAAUUGGAAUGCUACACUAAUACAUUUAUAUUGAUCACCACCAAAAUGGAUAUAUCAUUAACAAGUAAACUCAGUUUAACUUGUUUCUCAUUAAUACGUGGAUUGCAGCUAUUAAAAUCUUUUAAGGGACACACGUGGCACAUUCUGAACAGGUUCUAGGGGAAGGAAAGAUCCUGGGCACGACAGCAGACAAACUAAGCUAGAUCAGCAGACGUCAAGAGACACAUUCUGUCCUGAAGCCUCCUCUUGUUAGAACGCUCAGAAAAUGCCUCGCCAGUGGCCAGCACACUGCGCAGGUGCAGAGCAACACACCCAGACAUUUGAAACUGUGAACUGACACCCAAACCUUCUUGCUUCGGUACGUAGGAUUUUACCUCGGAGACGGUAAUGUGGCUGUCCACAAGGCGUCACAGUCAGGGGUCACAGCCGGGAGUACACUCCUGCUCCCAAUAUCUACGUCCUCUUUCUAACCCCAGGAAGAUAAAGAACAAUGCCAUGCUUUAGAAUGUAUGUCUGAUCACAACCUGCUUUGAACCCCAGCACUUUUUUUCCUCCAGAUGGAGACUCAUAAGGCAUAGACUAAGGUUUAAGCACCCAAGUAAGUCAGAAGGAUGGCAGAAGCCAUAGAAAGAUCUAGUCUUCAUUAUUUUAAUCUCAGGCCUUCAGAUUUCUUAAGGAGGUUAAAAGAAACAACACAGUAAUUUAAAAACACUUGUCAAAAAUUGUCUCUCCCCCCUUUCUUUUUUAGAAAUAGGCUCAGCUUCUGAUCAAUCAUCAAAAACAUCUCAAUGAGAAGUUGGAGAAAUAUCUCAGUGAAGAGUUUCUGUACAAGCAUGAAGACCAGAGUUUGGAACCCAAGAAUCCAUGUAGAAAGCUGGGUAUGGCAGCAGGCGCCUGUAACCACUGUGCUGGGUCAGCAGAGACAUGGUGAUCCCUGGGGCCCCCCUCUAGCUUAAUUGAUGAAACUUCAGGCUCACUGACCUGUAUCAAAAACUAAGGCAAGCAGUGACCGAAGAAGACACCUAAUACUGACCUCUGGCCUCCACAUAGAUAUACAUACAUGUACAUGUGCAUCCCCCACCCCACAAACAUGUAUGUGGACAUGCACACAUACACACACCCUGUUGAGAAAGACCACUACAGUCAGCAGAAGAAAAAUAAGUUUGGUUUUAACCUUCAGGAAAUGAAGGACAGGAAAAGAGGAGGGAGACCCUUCUUUGACGUCCUUUGGGUCAAGGAGGCAAAGAUGACGCUCUAAUUAGAGAACUCAAGCCAAGCCCAAGUUAAAGAAGCUUCCACCACCCAUGCCACGUGCAGAACCAUGGGAGGAAGUGCUCUGCGCACCCCGGGAGGCAGUGUGCCUGGUGCAUAAAUCCAUACUUUCUUAACACACUCCUUCUGGGCUUUUGCUUUCUGCACAGGGAGUGGGAACUGUAAAAAUAGACUUUGUGUUUCUGAAGAAGUGAAAGACUUAUUGCAUCAUGGUGGUAAACUACCAUCUACCAGGGCCGUGUGACCACAUGCAAACAUGCAGCUCAACUCUAAAAUAGCUACCAUUCCAGACAAGUGCGUUGGCUUUGUUUUUUUCCGUUUGUUUGUCUUGUUUUGUUUAGUCAAAAAUGUGAGAUCACAUAAGCAAAGUUAAAAAAGAAACUGGUAUUGGGGAAAACAGACCCGUGUUAGCUAGUCCAAACACCUGGUCAACCAAUUCACUUAAUUCACAUUGACUUCUCCCCAGCUGUGAGUCUCGGGUUAUUACUCUCUUUACUUCCUUUUUUCCUUUGUAAGAACUCUACAAAAAUGGAAAGGAAAUAAUCUGUAAACAGAAAGUAUCGAUUUUUGCCGGAGCCCUGUAAGGCACAGACCCACCACCUCCUUCCUUCCUUUUCAUCCCCAGUAAUAAAGGGAAUGAGAAAAACACUCUGAGAAACUGUCGGGAAGAAAGGCUGCCCCCUCUGAUCCUCGCCCACCCCUUCCCAUGUCUCCUCCCGAGGUUCAACCAGACCCUCGGGUCCAUGCGGAAAAUUUUCCCCCUUGACAACCAUUUCUCCACUGAAGCCAGACAACAAAUAUUAAACAAUUGUUAUGUGCAAGGCCUGAGCUGGGGGUGGGGGGAAGAGAAAAAGGAACAUUCUUUUAAAAAAGUAUAAGAUCUAGGGAUGUAGAAAGGCACAUUGUCCAAAAGUACAGAGUGAAUCAAGUGUUAGGAUACUGCACUUCAAAGCCUGCUAAUGCACAGGAGCGCCUAAGUGUUAGAACACCUGGAGGGCCCGUACUGUCUGCCUGCUACAAGUGUAGGAGACUUCUGGAAAACGCAAGCUUAAGAGGAGUCAGUGGAGAGGCUAAGAUUGUCCAACCUCAGAGUAGACAGACAGGCUGAGGUCAGCAUGGCCUCCAGCCACAUCUCCGCGUCUUAAGGGAAAAGUCUCAAUGGACAAAAUCCUCCCACCGGUAGACUGUCCACGGCAAAGCCAGCAUCCAAGGUCACGUCAUUUGUCUCCCACUGGGGCUAUUUUUGGAGCCCAGAUGACAGUGUUUUAAGCAGCUGGACAGUCCAGACAGAAGACAAAUGAGGGGACACCAUGUGCUUGCUAUUGUGAUCUUCAGUGGUACCCCAGCAGCUUCAGAUAAUAGAUGCUCCUUUGAAAGGCUUCUCUUGGUGGACAGCAGCAGCAGGAGGGCAUCCUGGGUGGCUGAACCGCAGGGAGGGAGGUGAGAGACCAGAGGGAGCAGAGCGCAGGGCUUAGGACUGAUGAGCAGACCUGGGGCUCUUCCCAGACCUGCUGUUCACUGAUGCUGGUGUUUUCUGGGCAUCAUCUAAGUAUUGAACACUGUUGUAAAUGCUGGGGACACAGUGAUCAACCAGUUAGACUCAAGCGACUUCUCACGACAUGUUUCCCAGGGCUAAGAAGCAGUUGGGCAAAGGAAGCCACAUGCAGAAGUCCUUACAAUCACACACGUCAGGGCCGGACGAAAGCCGGUCGUGACAAUUCCAUGCAUGCAUGCUUUGAAAAAACCUAGGUUAUAAAACAUAAAUAGAAGCUUUGGGGACCCAGGGAAAAUUGACCUUUGAGAUCUAGGAAGGUUUCUGAGAAAGAUGUUUUCCCUGGCUGAGUAGGAUUUUGGCAGGUGGAAAACAGAGGCAAAUUGCAUUCCAUAAGGAGGAAGAAAUAAUACAUGAAACAUACAUGUAUGCCAAUUCCAUAAGAUAGCUCUAGAUUUCUUUUCUUUCUUUCUUUCUUUCUUUCUUUCUUUCUUUCUUUCUUUCUUUCUUUCUUUCUUUCUUUUCUUUUCUUUUCUUUCAAGUUAAGAAAUGGAAUCUCUAAAAGGUGAAACUGAAAGCGUUGAAAGACUCACUGAAGGUCACCAACAUAUUUGGCAAUACAAUUAAAAUGUAACCAAAUCUAAAUCGACCCCAUGCAGCCUUCCUGAAAGCAGAUGGUCCAUAAAAAGCUUUUAACGGUGGCUGUUACUAUAGAUGUCAGUGCAGGACUGCAAAGGCUAUCAUGGUGAUGUGCUCAAGGCAGCUGGAGAGAGAGGAAGGUGACCGGAGAUGGGAUGGGAGAACAGCAAGAGUCACGCGUGGGCUUUGAAAAUCUGUCAGCGUGACCUGCUUAUGCUGGACAAGAAAUAUCCAACAGCAGACUGAGGAGAUGGCUCAGCGUGCUACAAUGAUUGCUGUGCAAGCAUGAGGACCUGUGUGGGUCCCCAGCACCCAUGUGAAUAAACUGAAUGUGGUGGCAUGUGCCAGUACCCCAGCACUGGGGAGGCUGAGGCAGGAUCACUGGGGCUGGCUGGCCAGCAAGUCUCGCCUAAUGAGUGAGCUCCAGGCUUAACGAGAGACAGAAUGACAACCAACACUGACCUCCAGCCUCUAAGUACACGGGCACACACAUGAAAACACACACACACACACACACACACACACACACACACACACACACACACACACACACACACCCAACAGCUAAAGCAUCAGCAACUCCAUUAUCCCAAUAUCCUGGAGGGCAGAACCCACAGCCUUGGCGCCUCCUGGGCUUUGCCCUGAAUUAUGAACAACAAAAAGAAGGAACAUACUUUGAGAGUAUAUUAGUGAUAGUUGAUGAAGCCUCGGCUGAAAGACUGUCUUGUGAGAACCGAGGUCUGAGAAACCACAGGGAAGAUACUUUGAAAGCUCUUGACAAAUCGAUGUGUUUCAACACUCACAUGAAAGGGACAGUGGAUCUCCUGUGGACAUGCUUACACUUCCAGAAACGUGGUGCAGGCCACACGAGGCGAUGGGAGCCAUGAACAACAAUUUUAUAAACAGCAGGCUUGGUGGUCACCCUGUCAAAUGCCUGCUGAGGAUGCUGUGGGUACCAACUGAGGGAGGUGGAUGGGGAUAAUAAAUAGCACAUGGUUGUGCAUCACAUCAGUAACACACAUCAGUAGACCACAUCAGUAACACACCUUAAUCCACCAUAUACCUGCUAACACACUAUUUAGUGAUUGUGCAUAGAGAGAAGCCACAGACCUUUCUAUUGUUGAUCUGAUUUGGCUAUUAUUUUGUAUGUAUGUAUGUGUGUAUGAUGUGUUUGUGCCCAUGAAUGUGUGUGAGAGAGAGACAGAGAGAGACACACAGAGAGACUGAGAGACAGAGAAACAGAGAGACAGAGAGGUCUGUAUAUACAGAGGUCAGAGGUCAAUACCAGCUAUCUUCCUCAGUCAUUCCCCGCCUUAUUUUUUGAGAUGGUGUCUCUCACUGACUAGGUGAUACCAGUCAUCCAGCAAUCUCCAGCAGGCUCCAGGACUCCAUCUGUCUGUGUCUUCCCAGUCCCGGGGUUACAGGCGUGUUCAGACAAGUCAGGUUUUUUCACAGAUGCUGGGGGUUUGAAUUUGGGUUCUCAUACUUGUGCACCAAACAUUUUAUUGACUAAGCCAUCUACUCAACCCCUCUUUUUGAUUUCGAAAGAAGAGAUUCAAUCAAGCAGUGUGUUCUCUAACCUCUAGUCUUGGUUUAAAAGCUUGGGAGAAUUUGCAUUUGAAGUGUAUGGUCGGGGCAAGGUGGGAUAGGGGAGGUGCCGUAUCCUGCCUGGAUAAGGCAGGUAAAUACCUGUUACUUUAAAGAAUCUGAUAUUUAUUAUGGAGGAGACAAAGAGUUCUCCAGAACACCUGCCUGGGGUGUGACAAAAUCAGCUCCACAUUCUAGAAGAAUCCCAGCUAUCAGGUGAGGGAAGUACCCAACCACUAUACACAAUAUUUCCCCCAAACAUACCUGCUCUCCAUUAAUCAGGCUCACGAUAUACUAAAGUUUAAGAAACCAAAGGCCAGACACUUUGAAACAGGCAGUAUAAUGGCCGUAUGUGUGCCUCUACCUAGCAGCUAAGACAGUUAAUUUAACGGAACUUCAGCUGAACUGAAUAGUUCCUAGAAAUGUAAUAACAACCUCCAACAACUGGCUUUGUGAGAAAGUAUAUUCUGAGUCCUCGAAGAGGGAGCAGAGGAGGAAACAUUUCUAGGAAGAACAUUUGGUCUCUAGGUUCCCACCAGGCAUGUCAGCCUGUGCUCUUGGCAUUCAAGGCUUCUCUGCUGUUACACUGACCUGUUUGCUGCCAUACGAGCUAGUGUGAGGACGUGAAGAUAGACAUUUCAAUACAGUAGAAGCCUAUGUUUUCUUUCCUGGAACUUUGUCUGGGGUGAGCUUCGGGGAAACACACCUUUUACUAUGAACUGCUGGGGAUGCUGUGAAUGUUUCCCUCUGAUUGAUUGAUAAAUAAAAUGCUGAUUGGCCAGUAGCCAGGCAGAAAGUAUAGGAGGGACAAGCAGAGAAGAGGAUUCUGGGGACAGGAAGGCUGAGUAGGGAGACGCUGCCAGCCGCCGCCAUGAGUACCAACAUGUAAGAUACUGGUAAGCCACGAGCCACGUGACAA